rfam:Triticum urartu cultivar G1812 contig1059690, whole genome shotgun sequence.
UAUGUACUCCCUCCGUUCCAAAAUACUUGACUUCCAUUUGUCCAAAAAUGGAUGUACCUAUAUACUAAGACAUGUCUAGAUACAUAUAUAUUUUGACAAAUAGAAGGCAUGUAUUGUGCAACGGAGGGAGUAGAAU